GAUGAACGCUGGCGGCGUGCCUAAUACAUGCAAGUCGAGCGAACAGACGAGAAGCUUGCUUCUCUGAUGUUAGCGGCGGACGGGUGAGUAACACGUGGAUAACCUACCUAUAAGACUGGGAUAACUUCGGGAAACCGGAGCUAAUACCGGAUGAUAUUUUGAACCGCAUGGUUCAAAAGUGAAAGACGGUCUUGCUGUCACUUAUAGAUGGAUCCGCGCUGCAUUAGCUAGUUGGUAAGGUAACGGCUUACCAAGGCAACGAUGCAUAGCCGACCUGAGAGGGUGAUCGGCCACACUGGAACGGAGACACGGUCCAGACUCCUACGGGAGGGAGCAGUAGGGAAUCUGCCGCAAUGGGCGAAAGCCUGACGGAGCAACGCCGCGUGAGUGAUGAAGGUCUUCGGAUCGUAAAACUCUGUUAUUAGGGAAGAACAUAUGUGUAAGUAACUGUGCACAUCUUGACGGUACCUAAUCAGAAAGCCACGGCUAACUACGUG
rnacentral:rRNA from 1 species